rnacentral:misc_RNA from 1 species
AAAGUAACCAAGCUCAGCUCUAUGGUUGAGAUGCAUGUUAACCCAAGGUAAUGUCUGGCUUGUUUAAACUUUUGUUUUAGAGAUGUGUUUGUUGAGAGUUGUAUGUGAGCAUUUCUAGACUGCCACGAUUCGGCUCUUUGUUUUCUGUGUUGUUUUAAGAGGGAUAACUUUCGAUGAAGCGCGGAUUAAAAGCUUCAUGGAUCUGCAAGAUAAGCUCCACCAAAACUUGUGCCGGAG